rnacentral:rRNA from 1 species
AACGAACGCUGGCGGCAGGCUUAACACAUGCAAGUCGAACGCCCCGCAAGGGGAGUGGCAGACGGGUGAGUAACGCGUGGGAAUCUACCCUGAUCUGCGGGAUAGCUCCGGGAAACUGGAAUUAAUACCGCAUAUGUCCUGAGGGACAAAGAUUCAUCGGUUCAGGAUGAGCCCGCGUCCGAUUAGCUAGUUGGUGGGGUAAAGGCCUACCAAGGCGACGAUCGGUAGCUGGUCUAAGAGGAUGAUCAGCCACAUUGGGACUGAGACACGGCCCAAACUCCUACGGGAGGCAGCAGUGGGGAAUAUUGGACAAUGGGCGCAAGCCUGAUCCAGCCAUGCCGCGUGAGUGAUGAAGGUCUUAGGAUUGUAAAGCUCUUUCACCGGGGACGAUAAUGACGGUACCCGGAGAAGAAGCCCCGGCUAACUUCGUGCCAGCCGCCGCCGUAACAC